UACGAAGGGGGCUAGCGUUGUUCGGAUUUACUGGGCGUAAAGCGCACGUAGGCGGAUUGUUAAGUCAGAGGUGAAAUCCCGGAGCUCAACUCCGGAACUGCCUUUGAUACUGGCAAUCUAGAGUCCGGAAGAGGUGAGUGGAACUCCUAGUGUAGAGGUGGAAUUCGUAGAUAUUCGCAAGAACACCAGUGGCGAAGGCGGCUCACUGGCCCGAUACUGACGCUGAGGCACGAAAGCGUGGGGAGCAAACAGG
rnacentral:rRNA from 1 species